rnacentral:rRNA from 1 species
CUUCAAUCGAGCGGCGAACGGGCGAGUAACGCGUGAGGACCCGCCUCAAAGAGGGGGACAACAGUUGGAAACGACCGCUAAUACCGCAUAAGCCCACGGCUCGGCAUCGAGCAGAGGGAAAAGGAGCAAUCCGCUUUGAGAUGGCCUCGCGUCCGAUUAGCUAGUUGGUGAGGUAACGGCCCACCAAGGCGACGAUCGGUAGCCGGACUGAGAGGUUGAACGGCCACAUUGGGACUGAGGCACGGCCCAGACUCCUACGGGAGGCAGCAGUGGGGAAUAUUGCACAAUGGGGGAAACCCUGAUGCAGCGACGCCGCGUGGAGGAAGAAGGUCUUCGGAUUGUAAACUCCUGUUGUUGAGGAAGAUAAUGACGGUACUCAACAAGGAAGUGACGGCUAACUACGUGCCAGCAGCCGCGGUAAAACGUAGGUCACAAGCGUUGUCCGGAAUUACUGGGUGUAAAGGGAGCGCAGGCGGGAGAACAAGUUGGAAGUGAAAUCCAUGGGCUCAACCCAUGAACUGCUUUCAAAACUGUUUUUCUUGAGUAGUGCAGAGGUAGGCGGAAUUCCCGGUGUAGCGGUGGAAUGCGUAGAUAUCGGGAGGAACACCAGUGGCGAAGGCGGCCUACUGGGCACCAACUGACGCUGAGGCUCGAAAGUGUGGGUAGCAAACAGGAUUAGAUACCCUGGUAGUCCACACCGUAAACGAUGAUUACUAGGUGUUGGAGGAUUGACCCCUCAGUGCCGCAG